rnacentral:lncRNA from 1 species
UAGGCUCUGUUUGGCCUAGCUUUCUAAAAGUAAUUUCCAGCUCAGAAUCACUUUUGGGCUCUGUAGAGCGUUUGGCAACCGAAGUUGAAAAAAAUUUGAUUCUGUUUUUUAGAAUCAGAAAACUGAUUUUGAAUGCUCCAGAAUCAGAAAUAGAAAAAAAUUACUUCUUGAAAUUUGAUUUUGAUUUUGGACUCAAAAUUCAAUUUUUUAUUUUAAUUUUAGAUUCAAUGUUUAAAUUUAAAUUUAAUUCUAAUUUUUAAAUUUUAAAUUCAUAUUUAAAUUUUUAAAUUUAAACUUUUCGAAACUAAAAUUUAAAAUUUAGAUUUUAAACUUUAAAUUUUAAAUUUUAAUUUUAAAUUUCAAAUCUCAAAUUUUAGAUUUUAAAAUUUUAAAUUUUAAAUUUCAAAUUUCAAAUUUAAGAUAAAAUUUAAAAUUUGACUUUUUAGAUUUUAAAAUCUAAAUUUAAAAAUUUUAAAAAUUACAAUUUAAAAUUACAAGUUUUAAUCUUCAAAUUAUAAAUUUCAAAUUUUUAAAAUUAAAAUUUUAAAUUUUAAAUAUUCAAAUUUUAAAUUUUAUAAAUUUUAGAUUUCAAAUUUUAAAAUUUAAAUUUAAACUUUAAAAUUUGAAAUUUAAAAUUAGAUUUAAAAAUUCAAAUUUUAAUUUUAAAAUUUUUAAAAUUUUAAAUUAUUUUUUGAAUUAAAAAAUCAAAUUUUAAAUCUUGAGCAAUUUUGAAAUUUAAAAAUUUAAUUUUAAUUCAAAUUUAAAUAUAAAUUUUAAAUUAUUUUAAAAUAAAAUUUAAUAAAAAUAUUAAUUUAUGCAAAAUCAAAAAAAUUUUGACAAACAGCUUUAUAAAAUCACUUCAGAAAAAUUACUUUUAUCUAUAUUUAGCCAAACGCUCUAUAACUUUUAACUAAAAUCACUUUUCCAAAUUAAAAUCACUUUUUCAGAAAAUUAUUUUUCCAAAAUUUAGGCCAAACAGGGCCGUACUCAAAUAUACCACGUAUAGUUUGAUAUACUUAUAAAUUAUAAAGUAUAAUUAAAUAUACCAUGUUAGAUCUAACCCUUUAAUUAUUUUCAAUCGUUAGAUUAUACUAUUCAACCAACUACCCAUUCAACCCUAGGGGGCCCACAUCAUCCUAACCGCACAUCUUUUGAUUCAAUUGUCAAAAAUCUAUAAGUACCAAUAACUUAGUAUUUUUAAAAGCAUAGGAGCUCAAUUUUAUAU